ACGGGGGGUGCGAGCGUUGUCCGGAAUCACUGGGCGUAAAGGGCGCGUAGGUGGUUUGAUAAGGGUGUGGCGAAAGUCCGGGGCUCAACCCCGGAUCUGCCGUGCCGACUGUCAAACUCGAGGACUGUAGAGGGGUGUGGAAUUCCCGGUGUAGCGGUGAAAUGCGUAGAGAUCGGGAGGAACAUCAGUGGCGAAGGCGACCGCCUGGCCUAACACUGACGCUGAGGUGCGAAAGCGUGGGUAGCAAACAGGA
rnacentral:rRNA from 1 species